UACGAAGGGGGCUAGCGUUGCUCGGAAUUACUGGGCGUAAAGGGUGCGUAGGCGGCGCGGUAAGUCGGGUGUGAAAUUUCGGAGCUUAACUCCGAAACUGCAUUCGAUACUGCGGUGCUUGAGGACUGGAGAGGAGACUGGAAUUCAUGGUGUAGCAGUGAAAUGCGUAGAGAUCAUGAGGAAGACCAGUGGCGAAGGCGGGUCUCUGGGCCGUAACUGACGCUGAGGAGCGAAAGCGUGGGGAGCAAACAGG
rnacentral:rRNA from 1 species